GGGGUGCAGCGCGGCGCGGGGGCUGAAGGCGGCGGGCUCCAGUGCGGGCGCGGACACGCGCAGCGCCGGCCCCGAGCCCCACGAGCACCACACGUCUGUGGAACACAGCAGAUACAACCUCACUUUAUCUAACAGAGCCAUGACGACUUCUGAAUGGCGGUCCCCACCCGUGCGGACUCCUAGUACUCCUAGUAGUGCGGCACCAGUAUAUCGAGACCUACCUCGACGAGCAUGUUGGCGGCGAGCCCGUGCCAGUCGUCGGGCGCCAGGCCGCGCUGCGCCCACCACGACUCCUCGCGCGCCUCCCGCCGCCACAGCGCGCUCAGCUCCGCGGCCGACGCUUCGAUCGCCCGCUGCGCACGACAACGAGGUUAUAGCGAGACAGUGGACACGUCCGGCGCCCGCAAAGCACGCGACGCGACUGCGCCGGGGACUAUCCAAUACCCACAGUCAGAGGAGAGUGCGCCGGUUACCCUGAGGUCCCGCGGGGAGAGCCGCGCCCGCGCCCGCGCCGCGUCCGACAGCGGCAGCGCCAGCUCCCGGCGCCGCGCCGCCACCUUGUCCCGCAGCGAGCCCGCCAGCGACCCGC